rnacentral:misc_RNA from 1 species
GCUAAUUCCAUUUCAAUUUUACAUCAUUGCAACAAUCAUCUCAUACUUAAUUACACUGUUUUCAUUAUUUGAUUAGCUGCUGCAAAGUACUGGUUAUCCGCACAUUGCACAACUUAAGAUUAUAAUGACUGAGUCGGAGAUAUAAGAGCAUAAUUUUGUUAAACAGCAUAGAUAACAGUCUUUCAUCAGUUACAACUUGACCAAAAAAGAGGAAUGAUCAAAACUUUAGAAUUUGAUCUUCUAUUGCUAAAGAAUAUACAAGGUUAGAUACCAAUUCUAG